ACAAACUUGGUCAUUUAGAGGAAGUAAAAGUCGUAACAAGGUUUCCGUAGGUGAACCUGCGGAAGGAUCAUCACUGAGAUCAGGGGUGUGCGGCGGCGGCAGCAGCAGUGUGCUUGCGCGCGCUCUGCUUUGCUGCUGCGCCCCCAACCAAUCUUGUGUGCACUGUUUACCCCUUUUCCACAAAGUCAAGGGAGAGGAGACACGCAUCGCAUACCACGACACGCGUGGCAGCUUGUGUUGUGAGUUGGCAAGUUAGUGUUGUGUGCGCGGUCGCGCGCGUAUGCAACCGCUUGCCAACCACGCACGCGCGCCAUGCCGUGUUGUGCGCGGCGUGUGUUCUUCUUUCUUGUUCUUUAUUAUAAUCUCUUGUAAAUUAUUGUCUAACUUUGUGUAUACAAUUAACAUGAACACAACUUUCAACAAUGGAUCUCUUGGCUCUCGCAUCGAUGAAGAACGCAGC
rnacentral:misc_RNA from 1 species